AGUCACGGGACAAUUUUUACGUGUGAUUAAUUAGCGUACAACAUGUUGUACCACAGGUACCAGGUAUCACAAGUAUCAGGUACCAGGUGUCACAGGUAUCAGGUACCAGGUAUAACAUAUACCAAGUGCCAGGUAUCACAGGUACCAGGUGCCAGGUAUCAGGUAUCAUGUGUCAUAGGUAUUAGGUACCAAAUGUCACAGGUAUCAGGUACCAGGUAUCACAUGUACCAAGUGCCAGAUAUCACAGGUACCAGGUGCCAGGUAUCAGGUAUCAUGUGUCACAUGUAUCAGGUACCAGCUGUCACAAGUACCAGGUACCAUGCAACUGGUACCAUACUGGUAUCAGCUGGUAUCAGCAUAGCGGCGGAAAAGCGAACACCAGUCAAAAAGAG
rnacentral:lncRNA from 1 species